UCAUCUCUCCUCUACCACCUCUCUUCUCCACUGCUAGCAAUGCUUACUGGCCAACGAUGCCGCUCGACGGUGCUUAGGUAUGUCGUCUGACGGCUGUCACAUGGGUUUUAGUGUGUCACCGUUUGGUCAGGAGGAUGGGGGAAGGAAACAAGGAGGGGGUUUCUUUCUUGGCACAGCCACCACACGGUGGCUCCCUUCCCCUCCCAGGUGCCGCCUGAUAGCCAGCCACCGUGUAACAGCACCUGGGAGGAGGAGGAAGAUGUCGUCUGGUGGUGGGGGAAGGAAACGCCCUCUCCACGUUCGUUUAUUUGAACGUGGAGAGGGAUGGGGAUAGGGUUUCCUUCCUCAACAGCCAGACGACAGCAUCCCUUCCCACCCAUGCACCUCCCGACGAUGCCUUCGUCUGGUGGCACCUGGGAGGGGAGGGAUGCUACCGUCCAGCUGCUGGGGAAGGAAAACCUUCCGUCAUUUUCCUCCCCAUGUUUGUUGCUUUUGAACAUGGAGAAGGGGAGGAGUUUCUCUGCCUUCCAUGGGCCGACAGUUUGGGCACCGGCAUCGGCCGGGGUAGGAGUAGAUGCCCCUCCACUUUCCUCUUAUCGUUAAGGAAGAAAGGGGAAGGGUUCUGUUACAGGUCUACCUAAAGCCAUGUCGAGAAGUGCGGAGGAUAUGGCUGAUGGCGACGAGCGCACUAUUGAGAGGUCUAGAGAGAUGCGGCCAGCCAGCGUGAAGACCCUUGGCACCUUCGAAAAGCAUGUCUUAGCGCAUUGUGAGGCUAAGGCAUUGCAAGGCCUUAGUGCACUGUUGGACAGGAGAAUACCAUAUAGCGGCCGAACACCUAGGGAGGCUAAGGAGGUCGACGUUGCACACCAGGCGUUGGCCACACCGUCGAGGUAUUUUGUUGUGAGGCUAACAGAAUGCUUAGCCUAUGUGCAGGAGCAACUUCGGCUCAAAGAAAGGUUAUCCACGGCCAGCAUGGACAGCGCGCACAACCAACCGAGGAGGUCGAAGUGGGUGAUGUCGUCCGUACUCAUUGUGACGUUAAACUCCUCACGAUGGCGAAAACUAGCAAGGACGCACCGAGUCCUUCUUGACCACACCCGACGGCUCAGACGGAGGGCAGCUUAGUCAAAUCGGCUCAGGACGACCAGGACAGUACAUCGGGAACAGGUUCAACGAAACAAGGACAAACUGAUUCGGGACAAGGGGACAGUUUAGGGACGAACUGGAGAGGACAGGAACAAGCAGGACGGUUCUGGACGAGGGAACCGAGUCAGCCAUGGUGAAGGCCACCUAGACCAAGUCCAGGUGAAGUGGGUUUGGACCCAGCUAGAGCAUCACGAUUGGGAGUUAGCGUAGGCUUGCGUUCAUACCGAACUCAAUAAGAGUUGACCAACUCGGUCGAUUUAGUCAUUGUACAUAGACUACUUUGUUUUGUUUUGACUCAGUUUUUGUAUCGUCUCGGGACGAGACGUCGGCACGAACCAGAACGUUUUCCUUAUAAAAGGAAAGUGAUGUUACCCUAAUCUUUAUGUCUUAAUGAAGUUUCUUGGGAUCUGUGGAGUUUGAAAGUCUGCGAGCCUUCUUCUCCCGCGAAAAACUCCAACCAUUGUGGCUCUGUAGCGCCGUGUCCAAAACCUCAACGGAGGUCGGUUUUCCGACAGGCGUUCGACUAGGUGAACUGGUUGGUGUCUUGCGCAACACUGUCGGAGGGUGCUGCUGAGAGCCAAGCAAUGUUGUCUUCCUCAUUUCCAGCGACAUAGGUCAAGCUUCUGUGCGGAUUCUUCAGCCAUAGGAGGAUCGAGAGGUGGAGCUUGGCAUUGGGCCAUUUUUCAACCAUAGGACGAUUGAGAGCUUCAGCCUCCAACUCUGAACAAGCCUGUGACGUGCUAAGGGAGAAAAUCUCAACGAGUUUCCAGCUGAGAUCAGAUCGUGAUCUGAACUUUUGGGCGUCUAAUCCUUGGUGUCUCAGCAGCCUACAAUCCAAAUUUCAGGCUAUUUGGAGGUCGGAGUGAUUUUUGGCGAAUUUUGGAGUGGAGGUCUACCCUGUGAACAGCUACUGGCCUCCCCUAUUCUGCAACCGAACCAGAACAGAGCAUACGACUGCGACAGAAUUGAACCUUGGAGUGCAUCGCGAUCCGUGUAGGGAACUCCGUUGCAGCCAAACUUUGGAGCGUCCCUUCAUAUCUAUCCCAAGGUGUUGUGGUCCAAUUUUCAGGUCAAUCGGACUCACGGUUGAUUUUUGGUGAAUUUUUGAGUGUGGAGCAAGCCUUUGAAGACAAAACCAAACCUUCGAGAGGGAUCCUCGCCUGCCUCCCCAUCCUGUGCAUCAGUUGGUGUAAAACCCAACAUCUGGAGGAGGAGCUAGGUGCUAUAUCUGCUCAAUAGUGCGCCUACACCGGUGUCAAUCGGUGCUUGCCUUACCUCAUUUCACAUCUGCUGCUGGGGUUUACCUGCCUUUCUGGUGAUGUGCUUCCUCCUGAGGUUUUUGUGCUUUAUACCUUGUCAUCUUGGUAAUUUCGGUGUUCUUGUUGGAGGCUAUCUUGCAGUGGGAAGCUGGAAGCUGAACCGCCAGUGGAAAGGAGCUUGGACAACCCUGUUCGUGUUCAGUUAGGAGACAUAGCUUCGGGCUAAGCGGCGCUUGCUUCCCCUUAAUAUCAUCAUCAUUCAAUAGGGGUUAAACUAAGUCAUAGUGAAGUCUCCUAACGAUAUUUGGAAAUACACUGUUUUCCGAUUAUUUGGAUUGUGACUAUCUCAGCUUGUUUUCUGGUGGUUCAUACCGAGGAGAAGGAGCAGCUGCAACAACCGUGAGCUAAGCUGAUCCGAGGGAGAAGAAGGGUGUUUGUUGUCACCUUCUCAGCGAUUGCUCUCCCCUAAUACGUCAAGCACACUUGGGGUUAUCAAUAAUACAUCUAAAUGCAUUCCCUUCUUC